GAGGGUAUAGCUCAGUGGUGGAGCACAUGCUUAGCAUGCACAAGGUCCUGGGUUCAAUCCCUAGUAUCUCUG
rnacentral:tRNA from 1 species